rnacentral:rRNA from 1 species
AGAUCUACACUCUUUCCCUACACGACGCUCUUCCGAUCUGGAAACCUAAUCGAGUGGCGGACGGGUGAGUAACACGUAAGAAUUUGCCUUUAGGAGGGGGACACCAAACGGAAGCGGUUGUUAAUACCCCAUAUGCUCUAGAGUGAAAUGGACUUCUGCGUCAAAAACAGAUGCCGCCUAAAGAGAAGCUUGCGGCUGAUUAGCUUGUUGGUGAGGUAAUGGCUCACCAAGGCGACGAUCAGUAUCUGGUUUGAGAGGACGAUCAGACACACUGGAACUGAGACACGGUCCAGACUCCUACGGGAGGCAGCAGUAGGGAAUUUUCCGCAAUGGGCGCAAGCCUGACGGAGCAAUACCGCGUGAGGGAUGAAUGCCUAUGGGUUGUAAACCUCUUUUUUCAGGGAGGAACACAAUGACGUUACCUGAAGAAUAAGCAUCGGCUAACUCCGUGCCAGCAGCCGCGGUAAGACGGAGGAUGCAAGUGUUAUCCGGAAUCACUGGGCGUAAAGCGUCUGUAGGUGGUUUAGUAAGUCAACUGUUAAAUCUUGAGGCUUAACCUCAAAAUCGCAGUCGAAACUAUUAGACUCGAGUAUAGUAGGGGUAAAGGGAAUUUCCAGUGGAGCGGUGAAAUGCGUAGAGAUUGGAAAGAACACCGAUGGCGAAAGCACUUUACUGGGCUAUUACUGACACUCAGAGACGAAAGCUAGGGUAGCAAAUGGGAUUAGAUACCCCAGUAGUCCUAGCCGUAAACCAUGGAUACUAGAUGUUGAACAGAUCGACCUGCGCAGUAUCAAAGCUAACGCGUUAAGUAUCCCGCCUGGGAAGUAUGCUCGCAAGGGUGAAACUCAAAGGAAUUGACGGGGGCCCGCACAAGCGGUGGAGCAUGU